AAAUAAUUUUCUUAAAAACUGCUAUUUUUGGAAAGUUUUCAUUUUUUUAGAGAAAUAUUGUAGAUUUGAAUUUGUGGUGUAAAAAUUAAGAUAACAAGAAUAUUUGUGGAUCAUUGAGUAUUCUUUUAGAAAUUUUCAUCAACAAGUUGUAUUUGAAAUAAUUAUCUUAAAAACUUCUAUUUUUGGAAAGUUUUCAUUUUGUAGAGAAAUAUUGUAGAUUUGGGUUUGUGAUUUAAAAUUUAGGAUAAAAAGAAUAUUGUGGAUAAAUGAGUAUAAUUUAAGAAUUUUUCAUCAAUGUGUUGUAUUUUUACAUAAUUUUCUUAAAAACUGCUAUUUUUGGAAAGUUUUAAUUUUAUAGAUAAAUAUUGUAGAUUUAGGUUUGUGAUUUAAAAAUCAGGAUAACAAGACUAUUUGUGGACAGAUGAAUACUCUUUAAGAAAUUUUCAUCAAUAUGUUAUAUUUUUAAAUAAAUUUCUUAAAAAUUUUAUUUUUGGAAAGUUUUCGUUUGUAGAGAAAUAUUGUAGAUUUGGGUUUGUGAUUUAGAAAUUAGGAUAACAAGAAUAUUUGUGGAUAGAUGAAUAUAAUUUAAGAAAUUUUCAAUAAUGUAUUGUAUUUUUAAAUUAUUUUCUUAAAAACAGUUUUCUUUGGAAAGUUUUCAUUUUAUAGAUAAAUUUUGUAGAUUUGGGUUUGUGAUUUAAAAAUUAGGAUAACUACACUAUUUGUGGACAGAUAAAUACUCUUUAAGAAUUUUUCAUCAAUAUGUUAUAUUUUUAAAUAAUUUUCUUUAAACUGCUAUUUUUGGAAAGUUUUCAUUUUUUUAAAGAAAUAUUAUAGAUUUGGAUUUGUGAAUUAGAAAUUAGGAUAACAAGAACAUUUGUGGAUAGAUGAGUAUUCUUUCGGAGUAUUCAUCAGUAGGUUAUAUUUUUAAAUAAUUUUCUUAAAAACUGCUAUUUUUGAAAAGUUUUCAUUUUUUUAGAGAAAUAUUGUAGAUUUGAAUUUGUGGUGUAAAAAUUAAGAUAACAAGAAUAUUUGUGGAUAAUUGAGUAUUCUUUUAGAAAUUUUAAUCAACAAGUUGCAUUUGAAAUAAUUUUCUUAAAAACUUCUAUUUUUGGAAAUUUUUUAUUUUUUAAAGAAAUAUUGUAGAUUUGGCUUUGUGAUUUUAAAAUUAGGACAACAACUAUAUUUGUGGAUAGAUGAAUAUAAUUUAAGAAUUUUUUAUCCAUGUGCUGUAUUUUUAAAUAAUUUUCUUAAAAACUGCUAUUUUUUUAAAGUUUUCAUUUUUUAGAGAAAUAUUGUAAAUUUGGGUUUGUGAUUUAGAAUUAGGACAACUAGACUAUUUGUGGACAGAUGAAUACUCUCUAAGAAUUUUUCAUCAAUAUAUUGUAUUUUUAAAUAAUUUUCUUAAAAACUUCUAUUUUUGGAAAGUUUUAUUUUUUUUAGAGUAAUAUUGUAGAUUUGAGUUUGUGAUUUAAAAAUUAGGACAACAAAUAUAUUUGUGGAUAAUUGAGUAUUCUUUUAGAAAUUUUCAUCAAAAAGUUGUAUUUUAAAUAAUUUUCUUAAAAACUUCUAUUUUUGGAAAGUUUUAUUUUUUUUAGAGUAAUAUUGUAGAUUUGAGUUUGUGAUUUAAAAAUUAGGACAACAAAUAUAUUUGUGGAUAAUUGAGUAUUCUUUUAGAAAUUUUCAUCAAAAAGUUGUAUUUUAAAUAAUUUUCUUAAAAACUUCUAUUUUUGGAAAGUUUUAUUUUUUUUAGAGUAAUAUUGUAGAUUUGAGUUUGUGAUUUAAAAAUUAGGACAACAAAUAUAUUUGUGGAUAAUUGAGUAUUCUUUUAGAAAUUUUCAUCAAAAAGUUGUAUUUUAAAUAAUUUUCUUAAAAACUGCUAUUUUUGGAAAGUUUUCAUUUUAUUGAUAAAUAUUGUAGACUAGGGUUUGUGAUUUAAAAAUUAGGAUAACUAGACAAUUUGUGGAAAGAUGAAUACUCUUUAAGAAAUUUUCAUCCAUAUGUUGUAUUUUAAAAUAUUUUUCUUAAAAACUGCUAUUUUUGGAAAGUUUUCAUUUUAUUGAUAAAUAUUGUAGACUAGGGUUUGUGAUUUAAAAAUUAGGAUAACUAGACAAUUUGUGGAAAGAUGAAUACUCUUUAAGAAAUUUUCAUCCAUAUGUUGUAUUUUAAAAUAUUUUUCUUAAAAACUGCUAUUUUUGGAAAGUUUUCAUUUUAUUGAUAAAUAUUGUAGACUAGGGUUUGUGAUUUAAAAAUUAGGAUAACUAGACAAUUUGUGGAAAGAUGAAUACUCUUUAAGAAAUUUUCAUCCAUAUGUUGUAUUUUAAAAUAUUUUUCUUAAAAACUGCUAUUUUUGGAAAGUUUUCAUUUUUUAGAGAAAUAUUAUAGAUUUGGGUUUGUGAUUUAGAAAUUAGGACAACAAGAAUAUUUGUGGAUAGAUGAGUAUCCUUUCGGAGUUUUUUAUCAACAGUUUGUAAUUUUAAAUAAUUUUCUUAAAAACUGUUAGUUUUGGAAAAUUUUCAUUUUUAGAGAAAUAUUAUAGAUUUAGGUUUGUGAUUUAGAAAUAAGGACAACAAGAAUAUUUGUGAAUAGAUGAGUAUUACUUCGGAGUUUUUCAUCAAUAUGUUGUAUUUUUAAAUAAUUUUCUUAAAAUCUGCUAUUUUUGAAAAGUUUUCAUUUUUAGAGAAAUAUUAUAGAGUUGGGUUUUUGAUUUAGAAAUUAGGACAACCAGAAUAUUUUUAGAUAGAUGAUUUUUUCGGAUUUUUUCAUCAAUAAAUUGUAUUUUUAAAUAAUUUUCUUAAAAACUUCUAUUUUUGGAAAGUUUUAAUUUUAUAGAUAAAUAUUGUAGAUUAGGGUUUUGUGAUUUAAAAAUUAGGAUAACUAGACUAUUUGUGGAAAGAUGAAUACUCUUUAAGAAAUUUUCAUCAAUAUGUUGUAUUUUUAAAUUAUUUUAUUAAAAACUGCUAUUUUGGAAAGUUUUCAUUUUUAGAGAAAUAUUAUAGAUUUGGGUUUGUGAUUUAGAAAUUAGGACAACAAGAAUAUUUGUGGAUAGAUGAUUCUUUCGAUUUUUUUCAUCAAUAGAUUGUAUUUUAAAAUAAUUAUCUUAAAAACUGCUAUUUUUAUAAAAUUUUCAUUUUUUAGAGAAAUAUUGUAGAUUUGAGUUUUUGGUUUAAAAAUUAUGAUAACAAGAAUAUUUGUGGAUAAUUGAGUAUUCUUUAAGAAAUUUUCAUCAACAAGUUGUAUUUGAAAUAAUUUUCUUAAGAACUUAUAUUUUUGGAAUUUUUUUAUUAUUAGAGAAAUAUAAUAGAUUUUGGUUUGUGAUUUAAAAAUUAGGAGAACAAGAAUAUUUGUGGAUAGAAGAGUAUAAUUUAAGAAGUUUUCAUCCAUGUGUUGUAUUUUUAAAUAAUUUUCUUAAAAACGGCUAUUUUUGGAAAGUUUUUCAUUUUUUAGAAAAAUAUUAUAGAUUUAGGUUUGUGAUUUAAAAAUUAGGAUAAAAAUAAUAUUUGUGGAUAGAUGAAUAUAAUUUAAUAAUUUUUCAUCAAUGUGUUGUAUUUUUAAAUAAUUUUCUUAAAAACUGCUAUUUUUUUUAAAGUUUUCAUUUUUUAGAGAAAUAUUGUAUAAUUGGGUUUGUGAUUUAAAAAUUAGGACAACUAGACUAUUUGUGGACAGAUGAAUACUCUCUAAGAAUUUUUCAUCAAUAUAUUGUAUUUUAAAAUAAUUUUCUUGAAAGUUGCUAUUUUUAUAAGUUUUCAUUUUUUAGAGAAAUAUUAUAGAUUUGGGUUUGUGAUUUAGAAAUUAGGACAACAAGAAUAUUUGUGGGUAGAUGAGUAUUCUUUCGGAAUUUUUCAUCAAUAGGUUGUAUUUUUAAAUAAUUUUCUUAAAAACUUCUAUUUUUGAAAAGUUUUCAUUUUUUAGAGAAAUAUUGUUGAUUAGGGUUUGUGAUUUGAAAAUUAGGAUAACUAGAGUAUUUGUGGAAAGAUGAAUACUCUUUAAGAAAUUUUCAUCAAUAUGUUGUAUUUUGAAAUAAUUUUCUUAAAAACUGCUACUUUUGAAAAGUUUUUUUUUAGAGAAAUAUUGUAGAUUAGGGUUUGUGAUUUAAUAAUUAGGAUAACUAGACUAUUUGUGGAAUGACGAAUACUCUUUAAGAAAUUUUCAUCAAUAUGUUUUAUUUUUAAAUAAUUUUCUUAAAAGCUGCUAUUUUUAGAAAGUUUUAAUUUUUUAGAGAAAUAUUGUAGAUUAGGGUUUGUGAUUUAAUAAUUAGGAUAACUAGACUAUUUGUGGACAGAUGAAUAAUCUUUAAGAAUUUUUCAUCAAUAUGUUUUAUUUUUAAAUAAUUUUCUUAAAAGCUGCUAUUUUUAGAAAGUUUUAAUUUUUUAGAGAAAUAUUAUAGAUUUGGGUUUGUGAUUUAGAAAUUAGGACAACAGGAAUAUUUGUGGAUAGAUGAGUAUUCUUUCGGAGUUUUUCAUCAGUAGGUUAUAUUUUUAAAUAAUUUUCUUAAAAACUACUAUUUUUGGAAUUUCUUCAUUUUUGGAGAAAUAUUGUAGAUUUGGGUUUGUGAUUUAAAAAUUAGGACAACUAGACUAUUUGUGGACAGAUGAAUAAUCUUUAAGAAUUUUUCAUCAAUGUUUUUUAUUUUUAAAUAAUUUUCUUAAAAACUGCAAUUUUUAGAAAGUUUUUAUUUUUUAGAGAAAUAUUAUAGGUUUGAGUUUUUGAUUUUGAAAUUAGGACAACAAGAAUAUUUGUGGAUAGAUGAGUAUUCUUUCGGAGUUUUUCAUCAACAGUUUGUAAUUUUAAAUAAUUUCUUAAAAACUGUUAUUUUUGGAAAAUUUUCAUUUUUAGAGAAAUAUUAUAGAUUUGGGUUGUGAUUUAGAAAUUAGGACAACAAGAAUAUUUGUGGAUAGAUGAGUAUUAUUUCAGAGUUUUUCAUCAAUAAGUUGUAUUUUUAAAUAAUUUUCUUAAAAACAGCUAUUUUUUGAAAGUUUUCAUUUUUUGAGAGAAAUAUUGUAGAUUUCAGUUUGUGGUUUAAAAAUUAAGAUAACAAUAAUGUUUGUGGAUAGAAGAGUAUAAUUUAAGAAAUUUUCAUCAACACGUUGUAUUUUAAAUAAUUUUCUUAAGAACUUUUAUUUUGAAAAGUUUUCAUUUUUAUGAGAAAUAUUGAAAAUUUGGGUUUGUGAUUUUAAAAUUAAGAUAACAAGACUAUUUGUGGAUAGAUGAGUAUUCUUUCGGAGUUUUUCAUCAGGAGGUUAUAUUUUUAAAUAAUUUUCUUGAAAACUGCUAUUUUAGGA
rnacentral:lncRNA from 1 species